rnacentral:rRNA from 1 species
GUGGGGAAUAUUGGACAAUGGGCGAAAGCCUGAUCCAGCCAUGCCGCGUGUGUGAAGAAGGUCUUCGGAUUGUAAAGCACUUUAAGUUGGGAGGAAGGGCAGUAAGUUAAUACCUUGCUGUUUUGACGUUACCGACAGAAUAAGCACCGGCUAACUUCGUGCCAGCAGCCGCGGUAAUACGAAGGGUGCACGCGUUAAUCGGAAUUACUGGGCGUAAAGCGCGCGUAGGUGGUUUUGUAAGUUGGAGGUGAAAUCCCCGGGCUCAACCUGGGAACUGCCACCAAAAGUGCAUGACUAGAGUACGGUAGAGGGUAGUGGAAUUUCCUGUGUAGCGGUGAAAUGCGUAGAUAUAGGAAGGAACACCAGUGGCGAAGGCGACUACCUGGACUGAUACUGACACUGAGGUGCGAAAGCGUGGGGAGCAAACAGGAUUAGAAACCCGGGUAGUCC